rnacentral:rRNA from 1 species
CAGCCGCCACGGGAAUACGAAGGGGGCUAGCGUUGUUCGGAAUUACUGGGCGUAAAGCGCACGUAGGCGGAUAUUUAAGUCAGGGGUGAAAUCCCGCAGCUCAACUGCGGAACUGCCUUUGAUACUGGGUAUCUUGAGUAUGGAAGAGGUUAGUGGAAUUGCGAGUGUAGAGGUGAAAUUCGUAGAUAUUCGCAGGAACACCAGUGGCGAAGGCGGCUAACUGGUCCAUAACUGACGCUGAGGUGCGAAAGCGUGGGGAGCAAACAGGAUUAGAUACCCCGGUAGUCCCUGUCUCUUAUAA